rnacentral:rRNA from 1 species
AUGUCGACCUCCACCACUGUAGUUUCCUCCGGCCUCAACAACAAUGUCUCAGAACCUCUCACCAGAUCGAACUAUGUUCUCUGGCGUGCUCAAGCCCGCUCCCAAAUCAUGGGGGCCGGUCUCUUUGGAUAUCUUGACAAAACCAUCGCCGCACCAGAAAAAACCCUAGUCAGCAAAACCUCUGAGGGCAAAGAUCAGGUCGUUCCUAACCCUGCUUAUGCUCCUUGGUUGAUCCAGGAUCAACAAAUCAUCGCCUAUCUACUCCGCAAUCUCUCCAAGGAGGUGCUAGUUCAGGUUGCCUCCCUAGAUACAUCUCAUGCAAUCUGGACAGCCCUUUCCAAUAUAUUUUCUGCCCAGUCCCGCUCCAAAGCAAACCACGUUCGCAUCUCUCUCACCACCGCCUAG